UAGGAUAUGGGGAGCUAUAUAUUCCGGACUUGGUGUCUUUAAGCCGAUCUUCUUUCUUUGGUCGUAGCUUUUGAUCAGGCAUCUACUUGCUUCCUCUGUAUGGUGUGAGGUAUCAAGACGAAGCAAUGGGUUCGAUCUUCGGCUCUUCUCUUGCGAGGAUGUGACCACUCUCUUGCUUUGUAGAUGGUUGAGUUUGGGUACAGGAGGGUCCGCGUGCAAGAGCUGCUGAUCCUUUUAGACGUUUUCCCCGCUUGGAGUUUCAAGGUUCAACCUUGUGUCUUUCUUCUCUUGGGUUGUUUGUGGUCUUAUUGCAGACGUGUUAGUGGUUGUUAUUGGCUCCGUUUGCGCUUCAGUUUUUGAUUGUUUCCGCGGGUGUUGCUUCUCGUGAGGUUGUGGUUGUGACCUGUGAUGGAUUGUGGUCUUCUCAAGUCUUUGUUUCUGAGUUCAACUCAUGCGUCUUCAGGUUCUUGGUUAUGAUUGGCGACCUGGUGCUGCUAUGGAUUUCGGUUUGAGUUCCUUUGAUCAUUAAGUAUUUCAAGUCAUUAUCAUUUACUUGUGGUAGUCUCUAAAGUAAUAGUUCUAUUUAUGUUUUUAAAUUUGGGUCUCUAGGAUGUUCGAUCUGUGAACUCUCCGGCUUUGGUCUUCGAAAGAGUUGCGACUUGUCGACUUUUGGCUUGUAAUGAUGGUACUUCCGUUUAAGUUAAAUGAAAUUCAAAGAUGACAAAAAAAUGUUUCUCACGAUUGACUUA